rnacentral:rRNA from 1 species
UACGUAGGUGGCAAGCGUUGUCCGGAUUUACUGGGCGUAAAGGGCGCGUAGGCGGUCAGCACAAGUCAGUUGUGAAAUCUCCGGGCUUAACUCGGAAAGGUCAACUGAUACUGUGCGACUAGAGUGCAGAAGGGGCAACUGGAAUUCUCGGUGUAGCGGUGAAAUGCGUAGAUAUCGGGAGGAACACCAAUGGCGAAGGCAGCUCGCUGGGACGGUACUGACGCUGAGACGCGAAAGCGUGGGGAGCAAACAGGG